rnacentral:rRNA from 1 species
CCUACGGGAGGCAGCAGUAGGGAAUCUUCCGCAAUGGACGCAAGUCUGACGGAGCAACGCCGCGUGAGUGAUGAAGGUUUUCGGAUUGUAAAACUCUGUUGCCGGGGAAGAAGAGCGCGCUUAGGAAAUGAAGCGCGAGUGACGGUACCCGAGAAGAAAGCCCCGGCUAACUACGUGCCAGCAGCCGCGGUAAUACGUAGGGGGCAAGCGUUGUCCGGAAUUAUUGGGCGUAAAGCGCGCGCAGGCGGUUUUUUAAGUCCGGUGUGAAAAGUCAGGGCUCAACCUUGACUGGCAUCGGAAACUGGAAGGCUGGAGUGCAGAAGAGGAGAGUGGAAUUCCACGUGUAGCGGUGAAAUGCGUAGAGAUGUGGAGGAACACCAGUGGCGAAGGCGACUCUCUGGUCUGUAACUGACGCUGAGGCGCGAAAGCGUGGGGAGCAAACAGGAUUAGAUACCCGAGUAGUC